rnacentral:rRNA from 1 species
AGUGAACGCUGGCGGUAGGCCUAACACAUGCAAGUCGAACGGCAGCACAGGAGAGCUUGCUCUCUGGGUGGCGAGUGGCGGACGGGUGAGGAAUACAUCGGAAUCUACUCUGUCGUGGGGGAUAACGUAGGGAAACUUACGCUAAUACCGCAUACGACCUACGGGUGAAAGCAGGGGACCUUCGGGCCUUGCGCGAUUGAAUGAGCCGAUGUCGGAUUAGCUAGUUGGCGGGGUAAAGGCCCACCAAGUCGACGAGCCGUAGCUGGUCUGAGAGGAUAAUCAGCCACACUGGAACUGUGACACGGUCCAGACUCCUACGGGAGGCAGCAGUGGGGAAUAUUGGACAAUGGGCGCAAGCCUGAUCCAGCCAUACCGCGUGGGUGAAGAAGGCCUUCGGGUUGUAAAGCCCUUUUGUUGGGAAAGAAAUCCAGCUGGCUAAUACCCGGUUGGGAUGACGGUACCCAAAGAAUAAGCACCGGCUAACUUCGUGCCAGCCGCCGCCGCAA